UACGUAGGGGGCAAGCGUUGUCCGGAUUUAUUGGGCGUAAAGCGCUCGCAGGCGGUCCGAUGCGUCGUGCGUGAAAGCCCCCGGCUCAACUGGGGAGGGUCACGCGAUACUGAUCGACUCGAAGGCAGGAGAGGGUAGUGGAAUUCCCGGUGUAGUGGUGAAAUGCGUAGAUAUCGGGAGGAACACCAGUGGCGAAGGCGACUACCUGGCCUGUUCUUGACGCUGAGGCGCGAAAGCUAGGGGAGCAAACGGG
rnacentral:rRNA from 1 species